CAAAAUCACUCGAAAAUAAAACAGUUAAACCGACUAAAAUCACUUGAUAUCUCUUUUUUUAUAUUUGCAGUACGACAAAAGAUUGGACCGAUAGCAACACCUGACUUCAUACAAAAUGCACCUGGGCUUCCAAAAACCCGUUCAGGUAAAAUAAUGAGGCGCAUCCUGAGGCGUAUUGCUUGCAAUGAGAAAGACUUGGGGGAUACUUCCACUCUCAUAGACCCAAGUGUGGUGGAAGUCCUGUUCAGCCAACGAUGUCAAGCAGCUGCUUAAAGUCUGAUAAAGAAGGGCCUUUUCUGAUCAAUUCCAAUACUCAGCUGAGCGUCUCGAACUGACUAGUCCAAAUAGGGGCAAUUGCACAGAUCUUCCAGCUUUUUAAUGAAAACAAAAAUCAAAUACUUAGUAACCUGUCUCUUUAAGGAGUGUCUGUAUAAACCCUUCACAAUAUCUAAUCACUUCUGAAAUAAUCUCAGGAUUUUCAGCCAUCUCUAAUGUAGUUGGAAGUCAAUUACAUAUAUUGAUCAUUGUGUGAAAAAGUCCUUGUUAUCAAUCCUCACAUUACCUUUCUCAGACUUGUAAUUAUGUCCCCAGUUUCUAUUGGCACAAUUCAAACCCAUGGUCUUAAUUGACUUUUUCAAUACUUUGACCAAUCUUAGUGACCUUUCUAAAUUAAUCUCUCAGAUCCUUCCUUUCCAGGUUGAAAGACUCAUGGAUCUGCAGUUUCUCAGAGUUACAGAGUGAUAUUGGGAACAGCAUCCAUGCUCUAUUCUGCGGUGGCUCCAGUGUUUUAAUGACCCUUCCGUUUCUCACUGAUCAUCAUAUUUGCACUUAGGCCACUGAUUAGAGUAACAUUGCUUGGGGAAGUGUGCUUCUCAUCUCAUCCUUGUGGGAAGUUGUAUUCAUCCUCUGUCUGUUUGAAUCUUCUAUAAAUUCACCUCUUUUUGACUGCUUUCCCAAUGCAGGAUUUGUGCAGAUCACUUUUGCCCUAUGUUUCUCUUUACAUAUGCUAAUAUGUUCAGGGUCAUGUAGUUUAGCGUGAGGUUGUAUAUUUUGGGUAUAUUAACCUGUUGGUCACCAUUCCUCAGGCAAGGGGAGAAGUUGAGAAGGAGAGUCCCUCAUGGUAACCUCAGCUGGUGUGGGAAUUGAACCCAUGCUGUUGGUGUCACACUGCAUCACAAACCAGCCAUCUAGUCAACUAAGCUAACCAAAGCCAGCUGUCCAUCUUAUUCCUAAGUAUUUUCAAGGGAUCUAAUUCACUCACUGACUCCAGUAAUACAUUCUGCAGUCCCACAACUCUCUGUACAAAAACUUUCUCAUCAUCACAAUUCUUACACCUUGUGACUCUUCAUUCUAGAUCCGUCAAUCAUUGGAAUCACUGGCAUCCACUCUGUUCCAUUUCUUCAAAGAUUAUUUACACUUUUAAAUCGUCCCAUGAUCUUCUCUGUUUUAUUAAAAAUGACCACAAUUUUUCAAGUCUUUCUUCAAAUGAAAAAUCUUAUUAUUCAGUAUCUUAAUAAAAUACUGAUUGUGAAUACAAA